CCUACGGGAGGCAGCAGUGAGGAAUAUUGGUCAAUGGGCGCGAGCCUGAACCAGCCAAGUCGCGUGAGGGAUGAAGGUCCUAUGGAUCGUAAACCUCUUUUAUAAGGGACUACAGUGUGGGACGUGUCCUAUUUUGUAUGUACCUUAUGAAUAAUGAUCAGCUAACUCCGUGCCCGCAGCCGCGGUAAUACGGAGGAUCCGAGCGUUAUCCGGAUUUAUUGGGUUUAAAGGUUGCGUAGGUGGCAUUUUAAGGUAGGGGGGAAAGUCUGUGGGUCAACCCUAGAAGUGCAGUUGAAACUGGGGGGCUUGAGUAUGAGUGAGGCAGGAGGAAUGCGUGGUGUAGCGGUGAAAUGCUUAGAUAUCACGCAGAACCCCGAUUGCGAAGGCAGCCUGCCAAGGCAUGACUGACGCUGAUGCACGAAAGCGUGGGGAUCAAACAGGAUUAGAUACCCGAGUAGUC
rnacentral:rRNA from 1 species